rnacentral:rRNA from 1 species
CCUACGGGGGGCUGCAGUGAGGAAUAUUGGUCAAUGGGCGCGAGCCUGAACCAGCCAAGUAGCGUGAAGGAUGACUGCCCUACGGGUUGUAAACUUCUUUUAUAAAGGAAUAAAGUGAGGCACGUGUGCCUUUUUGUAUGUACUUUAUGAAUAAAGAUCGGCUAACUCCGUGCCAGCAGCCGCGGUAAUACGGAGGAUCCGAGCGUUAUCCGGAUUUAUUGGGUUUAAAGGGAGCGUAGAUGGGUUGUUAAGUCAGUUGUGAAAGUUUGCGGCUCAACCGUAAAAGUGCAAUUGAUACUGGCAGUCUUGAGUACAGUUGAGGGAGGCAGAAUUCGUGGUGUAGCGGUGAAAUGCUUAGAGAUCACGAAGAACUCCGAUUGCGAAGGCAGCUUACUAAACGGCCACUGACAUUGAGGCGCGAAAGUGUGGGUAGCAAACAGGAUUAGAUACCCGAGUAGUC